UCUAAAUGACACUUCAUAUACAUGUGAAAACGCGGGAUAAAUAAUACUAUUCAUCCAAGGGAUGCACUCUGGAGAGUUUUCACGAUCUCUAAAGGUCUGAAGGACUACAUAAUAUACAUUAUAUUAUUAUAUUUAUAGUAAGAACGUAUUAUUAUUAUUACGUUAAGUACGUUCGCACAGGAAUCCAUUGUGUACACUAUUGUUAAAAGUACCCCUAUAUACCCUGUAUAAUAUAU